rnacentral:rRNA from 1 species
UACGAAGGGGGCUAGCGUUGCUCGGAAUCACUGGGCGUAAAGCGCACGUAGGCGGAUCGUUAAGUCAGGGGUGAAAUCCUGGAGCUCAACUCCAGAACUGCCCUUGAUACUGGCGACCUUGAGUUCGGGAGAGGUGAGUGGAACUGCGAGUGUAGAGGUGAAAUUCGUAGAUAUUCGCAAGAACACCAGUGGCGAAGGCGGUUCUCUGGGCAUUACCUGACGCUGAGGAGCGAAAGCGUGGGGAGCAAACAGG